AUCUCCUAACUGCGUGUGAAAAGCUAAGAGUGUUUUUCAUGUAUGUUCUAAAGCAUUUGAUGCAAUCUAUACAAUGAUUAUAUACUAAUAAAGACAAAUUCUUUUAAAAAUCACCUUUUUAUUGGAAGAAGCAGGCCUUUUAGAGGAAAGAAACCAUAAAGGUCAUACACAGAUCAAGAAGGAUCUAAAGGUGAGAAAUUCAAGUACUUUGAAGAGUAUUUGAAAUGCAAACAUCAACACAAGACAGAGGACAGAGGACACCCUGAUAUCAGAAAAUUUGUCCUCAGAAUGACUCCUUGGGUGGUGUAAAAGUAUUUUGCCAAAUUCUGUUCUCACAGUUUGUGAAUUAAAAGUAACUCGGCAAUGUGAGUUCAUUAAAAGGGAGAUGGCAUCAACCUUGCCACGUUCAAGGCAGGUUGCAAACAGCUUUAAGUAUAUAAAUAAAAGAUAGGUUCUUUGACACACAGUACCAAACGGUAUUUCAAGGCAGUGCUGUCUCACAGCCAGUGUAUUAUAGCAGGCUCAUAAAAGAAAACAAUGAAAUGUGGACUUGCAUCUUAUUUUUGGUUCAUGUAAUAUUAAAAAGAAAACAUUAUUAUUACUAUAAUAGUAAUUACUAUUGUUGCUUUAUUGCUACUAUUAUUAAUUCUUGCAGUUUUCUCAUGGCAUUCCUUAAAGCCUCAGCUACUGGAAUGAAGGGAUCAUUGGAAGAAUUUCAAGUUUGUUUGUUUUUAUGUGGUGUUCCAAUUUUCCUAGUUACAAAAAUAAACCCAAAAACAUAUUCUGAGUGCAACUAACAAAUGGAAUGAGGGCACAUAAAAGGCAUCUAAUGCUGCAUUUCUAUAUCAGGCAUGUUAUAAAGAACAAGUUUCAUUUAAAUGUCCAUAGUGUCAGCAAUUAGAAUGAGCCUGGCUUUCCUUGUUACCCUGUGAAAUUACCUGCAAGGCCUUUUCAUAUUGUUUUCCUGCCAUUGUUUUCAUGCUCCGUAGAGCAUUAAGAGUCAAUGACGGGCAGCUCUUGUGUUAGUCAGUCUAUGAGUCGUAGAGUAUUCUCCAUUUGGAGCUAUUGGAAACACCUCAAGGCGUUUAUUGAUAAAUACUUCCUAAAGACCUUUGUAAUAGAGAAUUCUCCUUUCUGCCUGCUCUCCAGUACCUAUAAGGCCCAUCUUUUCCCCCCAAAAUAUAAAUGUUUUUUUGUUUUCUUUCCAGUGGCCUCUGUAAUAAACCUUCAAUAGAAGCUAUGGAUGAAGUAUGCUUCCAGUCCAGCGCAGUCCUCCAGCUUUGAGCAGUGCAGUGCCGUUUCCUCUCCAUUUGUUUCUAUGGAGCUGACUAUGUGUGCGGUCAUCCAUAGGGGUGCUGAGAUACCCUGGAGAGAGAAGGAAUGGCUGGAGCUAUUUUUCAUUAUUUUAUACUACACUUUGUAAUAAAUGAAAUCCAUAGCAUGUGAACACCGGUCCUGUAGCUCAUCAUAUCCGCAAGCACAAGGAACCUUAUGUGCUAAAUAAAAUAAGUAAGCUUGAGAAAAAUUGUCUGGUGAGGCAGUAGAGUGUUCAGUGUUCAACUGUACAGUGCAACCUCUCUGACUGAGAAUGAUAUUAAGACCUACAGAACUACAGAACAACAGGUUUUAGAGCUAAAGCAGUCUACAAUUUGUAUCUAUCUACAUUCACAGCCUUUCUUCCACAACAAAAUUGUACUGACUUAAAUCUCCAUUGUCUUACAGAGGUCUUUGGGGUAACAGAGAAUAGCAAGCAACUUGUGAUCCACAAAGGAAAAUGGCAGCAGAAGGAACAUGAUAGAACUUCUGCAAUAGUGGUGAUGCAGGUUGAACUCUAUCCUGAGGAAGUCCAUCUGUCUGUAUGGAAGGAGCAAGACAAACGCUUGGACAUGAGUCCCAGCUUUGCAGCUGCAGAUGCCACUCCUUCAAGUAGUGUUUCCCACUUGUAUCGAACCAGGGGUUUGGAGCCUAUCAUGGGACUACCUGCAAAUAAUGCUGUGGUUCUGAUUCCUCCAGUGUGUCUUCAUAGACCUGAUGUCAGCUUCUUUCUUGUGGAGAUGAAGAAUGUCACCAUGACUGUCCAUUGGCAAACUGGAUAAGAAAGAGUGUCACACUGCAGGACAACCUAGAAGAUGACAGGUAUUUCCAGGCACAGCAAUGAUGAGAUCAAAUUCCCCUCAACCUGCCUUGUUUGCUGAUCUUUUAAUCAGAUUCAACUUCACUGCAGCUACAGCACAAGGUUCCCUGACAAUGUAUGACAGCAUGUGACAGAAAAAUAUUUGGAUUUUUUUUUUUUUUACCAUUUGAUGCUAUUUCAGAUAUAUCUGAAGCUCUGGCAGCAUCUGCUAAAUCUACUGAACUGUUUUAGUGGAGGUUUUUAAACGUGCAUAAUUGAACUGGAGGGUUUGGGGGGUUGUGUUCAUGUGCAUGUAGGGGAAUCCAAACAGGAAAGCUGGGAAAUGAUCUAAACCCUUUGAGGUUAACGUGCCAUGAAAGAGCAUCAACAACCGAAGAGGACAUUAUUAAAAAGCAGCCAACCCAGCUCAAAAAGAACCACUCUGUGAAGCAAGAGCCUGCAGAACAACACCCAGGGCUGUUUGUGAUCCCACUGGGAUAUGUAUUUCAUCCCCUGUCUUCAUAUCUCCAGAUUUCCUCUGAACUGCUUCUGAGACGCAUUCUCGAAAAAGAAAAACACCAGCAACUACUGAAUGCCUCUUAUCAACCUUUUCCCCGCAAUCUGUUUCGUAUUCGUCUCACACCCUUGUUCUUGCAGUGUCUUGGGGAAAUGCUCGGAUCAAAGAUAAGAGAGAACAAGGAAAGGAAUGAAGCAAGAG